rnacentral:rRNA from 1 species
AACGAACGCUGGCGGCAGGCUUAACACAUGCAAGUCGAACGCAUCCUUCGGGGUGAGUGGCAGACGGGUGAGUAACGCGUGGGAACGUGCCCUUCAGUUCGGGAUAACCCAGGGAAACUUGGGCUAAUACCGGAUACGUGCGAGAGCAGAAAGAUUUAUCGCUGAAGGAUCGGCCCGCGUCUGAUUAGCUAGCUGGUGGGGUAAUGGCCCACCAAGGCGGCGAUCAGUAGCUGGUCUGAGAGGAUGAUCAGCCACAUUGGGACUGAGACACGGCCCAAACUCCUACGGGGGGCAGCAGUGGGGAAUAUUGGACAAUGGGCGCAAGCCUGAUCCAGCCAUGCCGCGUGAGUGAUGAAGGCCUUAGGGUUGUAAAGCUCUUUCGUCCGGGACGAUAAUGACGGUACCGGAAGAAGAAGCCCCGGCUAACUUCGUGCCAGCCGCCGCUGUAA